AUUGAACGCUGGCGGCAGGCCUAACACAUGCAAGUCGAACGGUAACAGGAAGCAGCUUGCUGCUUUGCUGACGAGUGGCGGACGGGUGAGUCAUGUCUGGGCAACUGCCCGCUGGAGGGGGAUAACUACUGGCAACGGUAGCUAAUACCGCAUAACGUCGCAAGCCCAAAGAGGGGGACCUUAGGGCCUCUUGCCAUCGGAUGUGCCCAGAUGGGAUUAGCUAGUAGGUGGGGUAACGGCUCACCUAGGCGACGAUCCCUAGCUGGUCUGAGAGGAUGACCAGCCACACGGGAACUGAGACACGGCCCAGACUCCUACGGGAGGCAGCAGUGGGGAAUAUUGCACAAUGGGCGCAAGCCGGAUGCAGCAAUGCCGCGUGUAGGAAGAAGGCCUUCGGGUUGUAAAGUACUGUCAGCGGGGAGGAAGGGAGUAAAGUUAAUACCUGUGCUCAUUGACGUUACCCGCAGAAGAAGCACCGGCUAACUCCGUG
rnacentral:rRNA from 1 species